AGUCAAUAACAAACCCCCCUUAAACCCCCAAGAUCCCCUCCCCAAUAUCCCCCCCCCAAAAAAAAAACAGUGGAGUACGAGAACAUAAUUAGAGGAUUAAUUAUAAUGACACAAAAUAAGAAUGACAAGGGAGUUUUCUGGUAUCUCCAGAAUGGUAUAAUUUCAUUACGUCAACAAUGGUACCAUAGCUGAAAAUACAUUUUAUGACUAAGAACUGCUUUGUUAUUGACAAUUCAGGCACUAAAUUAAUUCAUAUAACUAGCUGGGCCUGACCAAACUGUUUUCUUAGGAAUGUUAUGUAUGUGGACCACAGACUCUGCUUCAGAGACAAUACCUCAUUGUGUCUAAAAAAUACUUUGUAUCCAGAGUAACAUAUCACACAUGAUUACAGACGGACUUUGAUAAACAGUCACAUUUUCUGAGGGGCAGCAGCUGGAUGUUUAAUCAGGGGAAGGGCAAAUCUGUGAUGUUUUUGGCAAU